GUUUGAUCCUGGCUCAGAACGAACGCUGGCGGCGUGGAUAAGACAUGCAAGUCGAACGAGAGAAUUGCUAGCUUGCUAAUAAUUCUCUAGUGGCGCACGGGUGAGUAACACGUGAGUAACCUGCCCCCGAGAGCGGGAUAGCCCUGGGAAACUGGGAUUAAUACCGCAUAGUAUCGAAAGAUUAAAGCAGCAAUGCGCUUGGGGAUGGGCUCGCGGCCUAUUAGUUAGUUGGUGAGGUAACGGCUCACCAAGGCGAUGACGGGUAGCCGGUCUGAGAGGAUGUCCGGCCACACUGGAACUGAGACACGGUCCAGACACCUACGGGUGGCAGCAGUCGAGAAUCAUUCACAAUGGGGGAAACCCUGAUGGUGCGACGCCGCGUGGGGGAAUGAAGGUCUUCGGAUUGUAAACCCCUGUCAUGUGGGAGCAAAUUAAAAAGAUAGUACCACAAGAGGAAGAGACGGCUAACUCUGUGCCAGCAGCCGCGGUAAUACAGAGGUCUCAAGCGUUGUUCGGAAUCACUGGGCGUAAAGCGUGCGUAGGCUGUUUCGUAAGUCGUGUGUGAAAGGCGCGGGCUCAACCCGCGGACGGCACAUGAUACUGCGAGACUAGAGUAAUGGAGGGGGAACCGGAAUUCUCGGUGUAGCAGUGAAAUGCGUAGAUAUCGAGAGGAACACUCGUGGCGAAGGCGGGUUCCUGGACAUUAACUGACGCUGAGGCACGAAGGCCAGGGGAGCGAAAGGGAUUAGAUACCCCUGUAGUCCUGGCAGUAAACGGUGCACGCUUGGUGUGCGGGGAAUCGACCCCCUGCGUGCCGGAGCUAACGCGUUAAGCGUGCCGCCUGGGGAGUACGGUCGCAAGAUUAAAACUCAAAGAAAUUGACGGGGACCCGCACAAGCGGUGGAGUAUGUGGCUUAAUUCGAUGCAACGCGAAGAACCUUACCUGGGCUUGACAUGUAAUGAACAACAUGUGAAAGCAUGCGACUCUUCGGAGGCGUUACACAGGUGCUGCAUGGCCGUCGUCAGCUCGUGUCGUGAGAUGUUUGGUUAAGUCCAGCAACGAGCGCAACCCCUGUUGCCAGUUACCAGCACGUGAAGGUGGGGACUCUGGCGAGACUGCCCAGAUCAACUGGGAGGAAGGUGGGGACGACGUCAGGUCAGUAUGGCCCUUAUGCCCAGGGCUGCACACGUACUACAAUGCCCAGUACAGAGGGGGCCGAAGCCGCGAGGCGGAGGAAAUCCUAAAAACUGGGCCCAGUUCGGACUGUAGGCUGCAACCCGCCUACACGAAGCCGGAAUCGCUAGUAAUGGCGCAUCAGCUACGGCGCCGUGAAUACGUUCCCGGGUCUUGUACACACCGCCCGUCACAUCAUGGAAGCCGGUCGCACCCGAAGUAUCUGAAGCCAACCGCAAGGAGGCAGGGUCCUAAGGUGAGACUGGUAACUGGGAUGAAGUCGUAACAAGGUAGCCG
rnacentral:rRNA from 1 species